GAAAUAAAAAGCGCCCUUCCUUAAAAAAAAGUGUCUCACACUGCUCCGGGGGGUGAACAAAGGCCUUCUGUAGCGAAUCAAUGCAUUUUUGGAAGAAAAAUAUCCAUAUUCAAAGCGUAAUAAUCACUUGAAUCUAGCUUGCACUCACUGUUGUAAACGGAAGCAGUUCCAGGGGAAUUACGUAUGAGGUCAGCUUUACAAAUUAAUUGUAUCAUAGUUGGCCUCGCUGUUGUGUAUUGGCCCCAGAGCCAGUGAUAUGCAGCGUAUAUUUAAUUCUUCAAAUAGCCUGUGAAAAUGUAAACAUAAAUUAUGUUAAACUUGGUGCAAUACUAAAAAUCUCCUAUUGUGUUUAAAAGAAUAGUUCACCCAAAAAUGAACAUUUGUUGUUAAUUUACAUCCCUUGGGCCAUACAAGGUUCUUUGCUGAAAGAAAGAAAACCAUGUCAGUUGGAAUGAAUCAAUUAUCAUUUUCAACCUUUUAGUCAAAGUUAGCCAAGUUAGCUACAUACUCUUGAAAGAAUGUCCAAAUAUAGUAGCCUACUACAUAAAAGCAGUCGCGUACCACCUUCACUGUGUGGCUUUUUAUCAAGGCUGACGUUUGUGUGAGUAGGAUUCAGCUUUGCUCAAAGAGGCUGUUGACUGGGGAGGAGAGUGUUGUUUUGCACAGCCGGCUGACGCAGGUGCCUGCAGACACUGCUGGCGCUCAACCAGGUGAGCUGUGGGCAGGUCUUAUCUAAACCCCGCCCCUCACUCCUGCUGCUGAGGUGGCUGUGGAGAGUUCUGGGAAAAACAACAAAGGCAAUAGAGGAAAAAGAGAGGGGGGAGGGCGG
ensembl:lncRNA